UGUUUUGUAGCUCAGUGGUAGAGCGGAAGACUGCAAAUCUUUCGGUCACCAGUUCAAUCCUGGUCAAAACCU
rfam:Dictyostelium lacteum strain TK GAOABQK02H81I9, whole genome shotgun sequence.